CAUUGGAUAAUACAAUGUAUAAACACCAUUGUUUUCAGCUUUGGAAUUAUUGUCAAAAAUACAUACACAGCAUCGAUUUACUACUUCACUUAAUCUAGUUCGGUAAUGUCACGGCCGUAAAAAAUUUUUUCUCAAAUGUGGUAGACGAUUUUUGAGAUGCUAAUCUGCCAUUUUGUCUGUAAAGG